CUGGACACAGGUGCUGCAUGGCUGUCGUCAGCUCGUGUCGUGAGAUGUUGGGUUAAGUCCCGCAACGAGCGCAACCCUUGCCAUUAGUUGCUACAUUCAGUUGAGCACUCUAAUGGGACUGCCGGUGACAAACCGGAGGAAGGUGGGGAUGACGUCAAGUCCUCAUGGCCCUUAUGGGUAGGGCUACACACGUCAUACAAUGGCGCGUACAGAGGGUUGCCAACCCGCGAGGGGGAGCCAAUCCCAGAAAGCGCGUCGUAGUCCCGGAAUUGAAGUUCUGCACACUCGCACUUCCAUGAAGUCGGACAUCG
rnacentral:rRNA from 1 species